ACCGAGAUUCCCCCAGUAGCGGCGAGCGAACGGGGAGCAGCCCAGAGUCUGAAUCAGCUUGUGUGUUAGUGGAAGCGUCUGGAAAGUCGCACGGUACAGGGUGAUAGUCCCGUACACGAAAGCACACUUGCUGUGAACUCGAAGAGUAGGGCGGGACACGUGGUAUCCUGUCUGAAUAUGGGGGGACCAUCCUCCAAGGCUAAAUACUCCUGACUGACCGAUAGUGAACCAGUACCGUGAGGGAAAGGCGAAAAG
rnacentral:rRNA from 1 species